rnacentral:rRNA from 1 species
UACGUAGGUGGCAAGCGUUGUCCGGAUUUAUUGGGUUUAAAGGGUGCGUAGGCGGCGCGGUAAGUCGGGUGUGAAAUCUUGGAGCUUAACUCCGAAACUGCAUUCGAUACUGCCGUGCUUGAGGACUGGAGAGGAGACUGGAAUUUACGGUGUAGCGGUGAAAUGCGUAGAUAUCGUAAGGAAGACCAGUGGCGAAGGCGGGUCUCUGGACAGUUCCUGACGCUGAGGCACGAAGGCCAGGGGAGCAAACGGG